GGCACGCCUAAUACAUGCAAGUCGAACGAAGUAGCAAUACUUAGUGGCAGACGGGUGAGUAACAUGUAGGUAUCUUCCCUAUGGUGAGGAAUAACACGAGGAAACUUGUGCUAAUACCUCAUAAGUCUUUACGGAGAAAGCUUUAUGCGCCAUUGGAUGAGCCUGCACUUGAUUAGUUUGUUGGUGGGGUAAUAGCCUACCAAGACUAUGAUCAAUAGCUGAUUUGAGAGGAUGAUCAGCCACAUUGGGACUGAGACACGGCCCAAACUCCUACGGGAGGCAGCAGUAGGGAAUCUUGCACAAUGGGGGAAACCCUGAUGCAGCGAUGCCGCGUGAGUGAAGAAGGCCUUUGGGUUGUAAAGCUCUUUCGUCGGGGAAGAAAAUGACUGUACCCGAAUAAGAAGGUCCGGCUAACUUCGUGCCAGCAGCCGCGGUAAUACGAAGGGACCUAGCGUAGUUCGGAAUUACUGGGCUUAAAGAGUUCGUAGGUGGUUAAAAAAGUUGGUGGUGAAAUCCCAGAGCUUAACUCUGGAACUGCCAUCAAAACUUUUUAGCUAGAGUAUGAUAGAGGAAAGCAGAAUUUCUAGUGUAGAGGUGAAAUUCGUAGAUAUUAGAAAGAAUACCAAUUGCGAAGGCAGCUUUCUGGAUCAUUACUGACGCUGAGGAACGAAAGCAUGGGUAGCGAAGAGGAUUAGAUACCCUCGUAGUCCAUGCCGUAAACGAUGUGUGUUAGACGUUGGAAAUUUAUUUUCAGUGUCGCAGCGAAAGCAAUAAACACACCGCCUGGGGAGUACGACCGCA
rnacentral:rRNA from 1 species